CGCCGCCAAAGUUUCAAGUAGAUGAGCUUCUCCAUGGGUUCCAUGAAUUAGGCUAGUCCAAGUGGGUUAAAUGAGCCCCAUUUAAUAAGUUGACCUCUAUGGAACAUUUUGUGCGCAACGAUUACGAGCUUUGAUCCGCAGUCCGUGACAAUUGCAUCAACCAAGACCACAUCUAUAAGGGUAAGACAUAGGUCCCACAUAAUCACGUCUUAGGCAAGGCCAUUGUAUAACAUUCCCUUCGACUUAAGGGCAAUUGUUAUGCCAACACCUCAUGAGCUCGCAGCACAGCACUUUAACCUCACGAGAUACUUCACGAGCUGGGGUUGCCUACGAGAACAAAAUCCUUUUGAGGUCCUCCAUCUUGCAAACCCACGGCAAGGUGAGCACCUACUAUGGGUACCACACCUUUGACAGAGGCAUUAUACUUAUCAUCUGUAUAUCGUGUUUGCUCAUUGUCCUGACCUGACAACCCACACCUAAAAGAAAUUGAUGUUAAUAAGUCAACAAAGCCUUAGGGAAUAUGAUACCAAUAAGAAAAUGGCAUAUGACACCUUGAGAAGGACCAGUGGUUUCCUUUAUAAGAUCUCUAGAGCUAAAAAAUCUCUCUCUCCUCUCUUUCUCAACUACUUGUCUUCCACCCUAGAACUCAUAAUACGCUCUACAAGUCUUUACCCACUCGUUAAAUUGUCAUCAACCAAGGCAAUCCCAAUAUCAACAAAUCUAAAAUUAAGAUAACUAAAGUGACAAAAUUUAUAAUAAAAAAAUCAAAAUAGAAGUCUCCUCAAACUUGAAUGAUUAUAACUUUUCAAUCCUUUAACCUAAAAAUUCCACUUUAAAUAUUUUAAAAAAAUAUAAAAUUAUAAAAAUUUUAUCCAACAAUAAAGUAAGCUGUUUUCGCAGAGUGACCAAACAAAGAGUUCUUUCCGCAAAGUGAGUAAACAAUAGUUUAAAAGAAAAAUAAAACAUAAAAUUACAACUUUUUUGUAGGAUCAAUAGAAUAAGUAACCGAAUCGGAGGCUUUUUAGUUUUUACAUUUUCAUUCUCAAGAGUGACCACCACACCAUUAAUAAUUGCGUUGAAAUGAAUGAAUCAAAAUUUAAAAAACUUGGAAGCCAAUUGCUGACAACUGUUGACCAAACAUACCUUCUUUGAGAAGAGAAGAUCAAAGCAACUCUCUCUCUCCAUUUCUUUGCCUGAAAGGCUGAAACAACAAGAUUCAAACUUAGGAAGUUGUUAGCAGUUGUUGGGUCAUUCUCAUUUCUGAAUAACGAAGAGAUGGUGAAGCUCAAUC
rnacentral:lncRNA from 1 species